GCCAGUUGUGGUGGUGCACACCUGUAGUCCCAGCUACUUGGGAGGCUGAGGCAGGAGGAUCACUUGAGCCCAGGAGUUCCUGGUUACAGUGAGUGAGCCAGUGAGCUAUGAUUGCACCACUGCACUCCAGCCUGGGCAACAGAGUAAGACCCUGUCUCAA
ensembl:misc_RNA Metazoa_SRP Metazoan signal recognition particle RNA